CAUGCCGCAACCCUCCCUUCCUCCUCUCCCUCUCUCUCUAAGCGGCCGCCACAACACGAAGCCACAAACCCUAGCCCCCUCCUUCUCCCUUGCAUGUGUGCUCGUCGCCGCCUUCCCCCCUCUUCCCCAUCGUUGCGCCAAUGCCUCCACCGGCUACAAUGGAUCCAUGGCUGAUGGGCGGGUACGAGGCAGCGAAGGACGCCGUCCUCGACCCGUCGCUUAGGCUGGUGGAGCACAGGUUAGGUUUGGGCGCAAGGACUGGCACCGGCGGGGAAAAGCGUCGGGGGUUGAUGCAGCGGCAAAUACGGGCAGGGUCGGCCGCGGAGGGAGGCUCGCCGUCCGGAGCAGCAGCAGCAAAGAGGCAGGUCGGCCAUGGAAGGGAGGCUCGCCGGCCGGAGCAGUAGGAGCAAGGAGGCGGGGUCGACCGUGGAAGGGAGGCUCGCUGGCAGAAGCAGCAGGAGCAACUGCAGCAGGUGCUAGUCGGCCCGACGCACCGUGUCAGCCUCGCCUCCUUAGUUGCGGCCCACACGCUCGAGAGGGGCAGCUGUGCCGUCACUGGUGGCAAGUUCAGCGGACGCCACCUCCUCUUCUAUUCGAACCCAGUAAGCCCUCUCGUGAGAGCAUCAGGGGAUGUCGUGCCCUCAAAAUCAGGUCCAUAUUGUUAUUCCUUGUCAGGGAGGAUAAUAUUCAUUUGACGAUGUCGUGCCCUCAACAUCAGGUCCAUUGUGCAGAUUGUUAUUCCUUGUCAGGGAGGAUAAUAUUCAUUUGAAGGACUUAUUAGGCCCAGAAUAUUUAGCUGGUAAGAUACCAUGUUUGUAUGAUUCAUCCAUCUCUCUAAUUCUGACCUUACAGAUCAACUUAUCUCCCUGCACCCUUCUAAAUCUGGUGCUGCUACAUUUUUUCUUACAUGGGUAUAUGUAUGAGAUUUUUUCGUUUAGGUAUAUUUGUGCCUAAAAGAAGUUCACAUCUAUUUUCUUGUUAGAUGAGUCUGCUUCCGUUUGCUCGCUGUACGUAGGUUGCAGGAAUGAGAAUACUUAUGGGAUCACAUGAAUGAGCUGUUGAAGUCCUGGAUGCUCCAAAAUUGUAUCAUUGAUCCCACACAGUGGUUACAAUCCCAGUCUUUGAAUCACAAUAGACAAGACCAUAUUUCACAUUUUGUAUAGUCCAGCUAAUAAUACACAUGGGGCCUGGUGAUGGUUUUCAAUAUAUUGUGAUAGUAGUUUCGUGCAUUGAUUAUUUAAUGAGCCACCCUUCUGUUUCCAACUCGAACUGGUGCAAUAGUUAAAUAGAUGUGUUCGUGCCAUUUAGCCUCCAAAUUCAGUUCAGUUCGGCUGUACAUCUUUUGCCGAACCCUUUUCUUGGUACUGAUUGACCUUUGUAUGUUUAUAUUUUUUUUAUUGCAGUUUUCCUUCAGUCCUUCCUCUUAGCGUAUAAUCUUGAUUGUGUGAGUUUCUUUCCUGGCAGGGUAUUUAUGAUUCAGACCAUUCUAUAACAAAAUGCAUAUAUGUCCUCACGGUAGGAGUUCAGCUUCAGAGUGCAUCAAGUUUGUGUCAAAUUUAUCGUUCUAUUUUGGAACAAUAUACUUCCACAAGUUUUUUUCUAACGAUUACAUAUAAUACUUCCACAUAUCAUCUUACAAAAUGGAAGUACAGAGGAAUUAGUAUAUAGAAGUUAUGAUUGUUGUGCAGGGUGAUCUCUGAAGAUGGAUUGCAGGUAAGUAGAUUAACAAUUUAGUACUGACCCUAUUUCUGUUGAUACUUCAUUUUACUCAAUCUUUCGUAAUGAUCGUAAGCAUAAAGUUGGGUUGCAUUGCCAUGUAACGAAUGGAUAUCCUAAACCUAAGAAAGUACCAACGCAGAUGAUUGUUUGUUAGGAAUAUCAUCAUGUUAUUACAGUAAAGAUGGCUAUCUGUAGCACCUUCUAUAGAUCGGUUUACUAUUAGGAAUAUCAUUCAACCUCUGUACUAUGUAUUACCGCUACAAAUUUGGCUAGGGAAUCUGUCUCAUUUUAAUGUUGCGAUGAAGUGGUUGGGAUGGAGAGCGUUUUUUACUUGACUAUUUUUUGACCUAUAUAUCUUUCUGUUUUGUGCAAGUUCAAAGUAUUAGUAGUUUCAGUUUGUCCAAUUUUUGCAGGGAUAUUGUGUGAGGUCUGGUACAAACUUUAAGAUAAUCACUUAAUACAUUCAUGGGAUAACCAACUUUUGGCGUUUGAUGAUACUAGCUAGGUGGGGCCAUGAAUUCCUAGAAUGUUGUGGCAAUUAUCCUGCUUCGCUUGCAAGAUUGGUUUCUAAAAAUAUCAUGGUAGUUGUAAUUUCAGAUUGCUGCUGAUUUGACUAAAUAUGUUUUGAUUGUUUUUAAGCUUUGUUUCUUUACUGUGUGCAAAACUAAUUCAUUCCUAACUAAAUCUUUCAAUGGUUGAUGGGAACACUACAGAUCUUGCUUCUCUGCUUUUUUCAUGUACAAACCGAGGCAUGUGGGCGCGAUGGCGGGCAUCUCCGGCAGCAGCGGCGACCUGCAGGCAAGAGGCAACGGCUGGGGUGUUUGAUUUGAUCCAGCGCCAUGGCCCAGUCCCUGCGGGAGAGAGAGAUGAGGGACAGAGAGAGAAGGAAGGAGAGGAGGGAGAAAGAGAGAGGGAGGUGAAUGCACUGGACUCUUCAAGAUCGAGGGCACCAUUGGAAAGGCCGAGUGCGUCCAUCGACAGCUUGCCCAGUGUCCGGAUUCACCAAGCAGUACAACCGGAGACGCUGUCGGCUGCCUGCAGGCACCAAGCCGCCCGCUGUUGUCUCUGCCCGAAGAAGGAUUAUGGUUCUCCACCUCUUUGCUACUCAUAUUAAAAUUCCGACUCCUUUAUUUUGCCAUAAAGGGCAGGAGUUGUGCCAUUUGACUUGACGUACAAAGCGUUCAUCACAAGGGGGUGGUCUUUAGGAUAUAUACACAAAAGAGGAAAUUUCCUUUUGUAUAGAACCAAAUUAUAUGAUGUAAUUCAGUUCAAAUUUUUUAUAUGAUGUAAUUGACCACUAUUUUUAUGAGAUUCUCCUGUACACAA